rnacentral:rRNA from 1 species
UACGUAGGGUGCGAGCGUUGUCCGGAAUUAUUGGGCGUAAAGAGCUCGUAGGCGGUCUGUCGCGUCGGUCGUGAAAACCUGGGGCUUAACUCUGGGCGUGCGGUCGAUACGGGCAUCACUAGAGUUCGGCAGGGGAGACUGGAAUUCCUGGUGUAGCGGUGAAAUGCGCAGAUAUCAGGAGGAACACCGGUGGCGAAGGCGGGUCUCUGGGCCGAUACUGACGCUGAGGAGCGAAGCAUGGGUAGCGAACAGGA